UACGGGGGGGGCAAGCGUUGUUCGGAAUUACUGGGCGUAAAGGGUUCGUAGGUGGCUUGCUAAGUCAGACGUGAAAUCCCUCAGCUUAACUGGGGAACUGCGUCUGAUACUGGCGAGCUUGAGUGCAGGAGAGGAACGCGGAAUUCCGGGUGUAGUGGUGAAAUGCGUAGAUAUCUGGAGGAACACCGGUGGCGAAGGCGGCGUUCUGGACUGCAACUGACACUGAGGAACGAAAGCCAGGGGAGCAAACGGG
rnacentral:rRNA from 1 species